GCAUUUCUCUUUCUUUCUGGGCAUGAGAAACAUCUGUUAAAUAUAUAGCUAUAGAUAUAUAAACACUCCAAACCUUACAGCAUUUCCCCUUGCCCCCAAGCCACAAAUGAUCAGUCUCCAUUGCUAUAGGACAUUGAACAUCAGCAACAGAGUUAGGGUGGCGUUCGGAGCUCCUGCCUGGAGAACAAAGCAGGCUGAUGAGAACUGCCUGCUAGAACCAGGAAGAGAGAAAGUCAAUGUCUUGUGGUUGCCCGCACUGCAUCUUUAGCAUUAGCUGCUUCAAGCUUUGCUCUACAGGAAACAGCAGGAAAAGUAUAUUUGGUUAGUAUCCCCUAAAUAGGGUGUGCUAGGAUUUCAUCCU